AGAGUUUGAUCCUGGCUCAGAUUGAACGCUGGCGGCAUGCUUUACACAUGCAAGUCGAACGGCAGCGCGGGCUUCGGCCUGGCGGCGAGUGGCGAACGGGUGAGUAAUACAUCGGAACGUGCCCAGUAGUGGGGGAUAGCUCGGCGAAAGCCGGAUUAAUACCGCAUACGACCUGAGGGUGAAAGCGGGGGAUCUUCGGGCCUCGCGCUAUUGGAGCGGCCGAUGGCAGAUUAGCUAGUUGGUGGGGUAAAGGCCUACCAAGGCGACGAUCUGUAGCUGGUCUGAGAGGACGAC
rnacentral:rRNA from 1 species